rnacentral:rRNA from 1 species
GACGAACGCUGGCGGCGUGCUUAACACAUGCAAGUCGAACGGAAAGGCCCUGCUUUUGUGGGGUGCUCGAGUGGCGAACGGGUGAAUAACACGUGAGUAACCUGCCCUUGACUUUUGUAUAACUUCAGGAAACUGGGGCUAAUACCGGAUAUGAGCUCCUUCUGCAUGGUGGGGGUUGGAAAGUUUCGGCGGUUGGGGAUGGACUCGCGGCUUAUCAGCUUGUUGGUGGGGUAGUGGCUUACCAAGGCUUUGACGGGUAGCCGGCCUGAGAGGGUGACCGGCAACAGUGGGACUGAGAUACGGCCCAGACUACUACGGGAGGCAGCAGUGGGGAAUAUUGCACAAUGGGCGGAAGCCUGAUGCAGCAACGCCGCGUGCGGGAUGACGGCCUUCGGGUUGUAAACCGCUUUCGCCUGUGACGAAGCGUGAGUGACGGUAAUGGGUAAAGAAGCACCGGCUAACUACGUG